ACACUCUGAUCUCUCCUCAUAUCAUAUAAAUCUUUCAUCUUUUACUAAACAUUUCUGUAGAGAGGAACAACUUCACGUUUUUCACUAAUUUUUUGAGGCCUUGCUUUGGCAGGACU
rnacentral:snRNA from 1 species